CAGCAGCCGCGGUAAAACGUAGGUCCCGAGCGUUGUCCGGAUUUAUUGGGCGUAAAGCGAGCGCAGGCGGUUAGAUAAGUCUGAAGUUAAAGGCUGUGGCUUAACCAUAGUACGCUUUGGAAACUGUUUAACUUGAGUGCAAGAGGGGAGAGUGGAAUUCCAUGUGUAGCGGUGAAAUGCGUAGAUAUAUGGAGGAACACCGGUGGCGAAAGCGGCUCUCUGGCUUGUAACUGACGCUGAGGCUCGAAAGCGUGGGGAGCAAACAGGAUUAGAUACCCCCGUAGUCCCUGUCUCUUAUACA
rnacentral:rRNA from 1 species